GACGAACGUUGGCGGCGUGCUUAAUACAUGCAAGUCAACUGAAGCAGUGGUAGCAAUAUCGCUGUGGAGGUGGCGCACGGGUGAGUAACACGUAGGUAAUCUGCCUUCAGGUCUGGCAUAACUCCGGGAAACCGGAGCUAAUAGCAGAUGAUGCAGCGGCUCGACAUCGAGACAGUUGUUAAAGCUAUGGCGCCUGAAGAUGAGCCUGCGUCUGAUUAGCUAGUUGGCGGGGUAACGGCCCACCAAGGCAACGAUCAGUAGCUGGUCUGAGAGGAUGAUCAGCCACACUGGAACUGAGACACGGUCCAGACUCCUACGGGAGGCAGCAGUAAGGAAUAUUGCUCAAUGGGAGAAAUCCUGAAGCAGCAACGCCGCGUGAGGGACGAAGGGCUUUUGCUUGUAAACCUCUGUAGUGAGAGAAAAAAAUCCCAAUCUUUGGGACAUGAUGGUAUCUCAAAAGUAAGCCCCGGCUAACUACGUG
rnacentral:rRNA from 1 species